rnacentral:misc_RNA from 1 species
GCGUCCGCCCCAAGUAUUUUUCACCCAUGUCUUUUGCGCACUUUUUGUUUCCUGGGCGAGUUCGCUCGCCACCAGGACCCCAACCAUAAACCUUUUUUUAUGCAGUUGCAAUCAGCGUCAGUAUAAUAAUUCAAUUUAUUAAAACUUUCAACAACGGAUCUCUUGGUUCUGGCAUCGAUGAAGAACGCAGCGAAAUGCGAUACGUAGUGUGAAUUGCAGAAUUCAGUGAAUCAUCGAAUCUUUGAACGCACAUUGCGCCCUUUGGUAUUCCAAAGGGCAUGCCUGUUCGAGCGUCAUUUGUACCCUCAAGCUUUGCUUGGUGUUGGGCGUCUUUUUGUCUCUCCCCUUGUUGGGGGAGACUCGCCUUAAAACGAUUGGCAGCCGACCUACUGGUUUUCGGAGCGCAGCACAAAUUGCGCCUUCCAAU